rnacentral:tRNA from 1 species
ACCUGGGUGGCUCAGUCGGUUGAGCGUCUGACUUUGGCUCAGGUCAGGAUCUCUCAGUUUGUGAGUUCGAGCCCUGCGUCGGGUU